UGUCCUAACGGGGUGCUCAAUUCUGCUACAGCUUUGGUCUUACGAGAGGAUUGCUAUCGGUCGUCCCAUGAUUGACCAGUCACCGUACACGCCGGAUAUGUACGGUGACACGGAGGACGACAGACCCACCAUGGGGACUCUCUGGUACUCUCGACAGAAAACAUGGGCACAUGUACAGACCCGGCGGUCUUAUCCUGAGUUUGUUGCCGAAUUUGAUUGAUUGACCCCAGAAGACAUUGUGUGGGAGCCAUACAGUCCUUCGGCUAUAGCCGCACGUGCACCGCUUGGGAUAUUUUCUGUGUGCACACAGGACCAGGGCCUAUGGAUGACUACUGCAGCUUUGGUGUACGACAUUGCAGUUGAGGCCCACUGCCCGGAUAGAGUCAUGAGGCAGUUCGGUCGACGCCAGUCUUUCCCUGUGUCUUCAGCGUUGGAUCGUGUUCAGUGCCACGAUCAUAGUUUAUCAAGGGCUAGACAUCCUUUCUCGACAAUGUGGGUCACUAGAUUACAACCAUGGGUGGCUGCAUGGGAUGAUGCAGGCGAGCAGUUGGCUGAGGAUACCGGUCCACACACUGAGCCUUCGUUUCGGGCGUACCUGACCUGGUAUGAACCGAAGACUCGUUGCCGUUUGACGUAUGUUGACAUGCAUCCACAGCCGCAUGUUGCGACUUCGCAGGAUCGCUAUGCACGACACAGGGAUGAGGCAUUAGCUGGGGCGGUGAGUAAAUGUUGACGGCAUUUUCGAUCUUUUAAGAUUUGUAUACUAAGUUUUCUUGGUUGCAGUUCGAGACAUGUAGGUUGCUUGAAUUAGAUUGCUCACUGAAUGUAAUGAGGAUUCAUGGCGGGUCUACGAUGAGCAUGCCGGCACAACUCGAGGCCUGGACCACUCAAUGUGAUAGAGCCCGAGACAUCCUUCAGGCCUUUGGUAUGCGGACGGAGUACGAGGAUUCCUACGGAUCGUCGCAAGCGUCGACGUCGGUUCCUUGUGGUCCCGCAUGGUAGCAGCCUCCCUUAUACCACCGACAGUACGAAGGGUACGGGUACCCCGGUUCUCAGCCCUAUGGAGGGCCAGGUGCCUCGCAAGGGGCUCCAUUUCAAG